AUGGCCGGAUUCCUACUAGCCAUUAGCUUCGUGGGGCUCCUCAACUUGCUUCCGCUCAGAAAGGCUUUGGUCAUAGAUUACAAAUUGACUUAUCCAAGCGGGACUGCAACUGCUGUACUCAUAAACGGGUUCCAUACCCCUCAAGGAGAAAAGAACGCAAAAAUGCAGGUCCGUGGAUUUGUGAGGAGCUUCGUGAUCAGCCUCCUGUGGAGCUUCUUCCAAUGGUUCUACACAGGUGGCCAGAGUUGUGGGUUUCUACAAUUCCCUACUUUUGGUCUAAAGGCUUGGAAACAAACGUUCUUCUUUGAUUUUAGUCUCACAUAUGUCGGCGCGGGGAUGAUCUGCUCACACCUUGUAAACCUAUCCACACUUUUCGGUGCGGUACUUUCUUGGGGAAUAAUGUGGCCACUCAUCAGCAAACAAAAGGGCAUUUGGUACCCGGCAAAUGUACCAGAAAGCAGCAUGACAAGCUUGUUUGGUUACAAGUCCUUCAUGUGUGUAGCUCUGAUCAUGGGGGAUGGCCUCUAUCACUUCAUCAAACUCACAGGCAUCACUGCUAAGAGUCUGCAUGCACAAUCCAACCGUAAACAUGUUAAGAGAGCGGCAAACGAGGAUACAGUUUCAUUUGAUGAUUUGCAGCGCAAUGAGGUCUUCACCACAUUUGAUGAUUCCAAACUGGCUAGCGUAUGCCGGAUAUGCCUCAUUAAGCAUCAUUGCUAUAAUUGUCAUACCGACAAUGUUCCGUAUGGCAAGAUUGCUCUCUUCAUCUUUGCAGCCUGGGGAGGGAAGGAUGAUGGUGUCAUUGCCGGCCUUGUUGGUUGUGCGAUAGUGAAGCAGCUAGUGCAAGUCUCCGCAGAUCUGAUGCAUGACUACAAGACGGGCCAUCUGACACUGACAUCACCGAGAUCACUGCUUGUCGGGCAGGCCAUUGGUACAGUCAUGGGCUGCAUCAUCGCGCCGUCUACAUUCUUGCUCUUCUACAAAGCAUUUGAUAUUGGAAACCCAGACGGGUACUGGAAGGCCCCGUACGCGCUGAUAUACCGGAACAUGGCCAUUCUCGGCGUCGAGGGCUUCUCUGCACUGCCAAAGCGUUGCCUCGAGCUGUCUGCAGCUUGCUUCGCAUUUUCUGUGCUCGUCAACCUUCUGAGGGACUUCUCGACGCAGAAGUACCGGAAGUACGUUCCCCUUCCGAUGGCGAUGGCUGUGCCGUUCCUAGUUGGCGCCAACUUUGCCGUCGACAUGUGUGUAGGGAGCUUGGUAGUCUUCAGCUGGCACAAGAUGAAGAGAAAGGAGGCCACGCUGCUGGUGCCUGCAGUUGCCUCUGGUUUUAUCUGUGGAGAUGGUAUAUGGAUGUUCCCUUCUUCGUUGCUUUCUCUUGCUAAGGUUAACCCGCCCAUCUGCAUGAAGUUCACACCGGGAAGCUAG
rnacentral:rRNA from 1 species